GAUGAACGCUGGCGGCGUGCUUAACACAUGCAAGUCGAACGGAAAGGCUCCUGCUUGCAGGGGUACUCGAGUGGCGAACGGGUGAGUAACACGUGGGUGAUCUGCCCUGCACUUCGGGAUAAGCCUGGGAAACUGGGUCUAAUACCGGAUAGGACCACAUUUUGGAUGGUGUGGUGGAAAGUUUUUCGGUGUGGGAUGAGCUCGCGGCCUAUCAGCUUGUUGGUGGGGUAAUGGCCUACCAAGGCGUCGACGGGUAGCCGGCCUGAGAGGGUGUACGGCCACAUUGGGACUGAGAUACGGCCCAGACGCCUACGGGAGGCAGCAGUGGGGAAUAUUGCACAAUGGGCGCAAGCCUGAUGCAGCGACGCCGCGUGGGGGAUGACGGCCUUCGGGUUGUAAACUCCUUUCGCUAGGGACGAAGCGCAAGUGACGGUACCUGGAGAAGAAGCACCGGCUAACUACGUG
rnacentral:rRNA from 1 species